UUUUCGGCAAUGGGGGGAACCCUGACCGAGCAACGCCGCGUGAAGGAAGAAGGAGUUCGUUGUGUAAACUUCUGUUAUAAAGGAAGAAAGACGGAUGGAGGAAAUGACAUCCGAGUGACGGUACUCUAUGAGAAAGCCACGGCUAACUACGCGCCAGCAGCCGCGGUAAUACGUAGGUGGCAAGCGUUAUCCGGAAUUAUUGGGCGUAAAGAGGGAGAAGGCGGCAGAAAAGGUCUGUGGUGAAAGACUGAAGCUUAACUUCAGUAAGCCAUGGAAACCGGGCAGCUAGAGUGCAGGAGAGGAUCGUGGAAUUCCAUGUGUAGCGGUGAAAUGCGUAGAUAUAUGGAGGAACACCAGUGGCGAAGGCGACGAUCUGGCCUGCAACUGACGCUCAGUCCCGAAAGCGUGGGGAGCAAAUAG
rnacentral:rRNA from 1 species